rnacentral:lncRNA from 1 species
GCAGCAUCACCUGGGAACUUGUUAGAAACGCACAUUGUCAGGCCCAGGUGCUGCCCAAGCCCUCCUUAAUCAGAAACAUGGGGAGGAGGGUGGGUGAAGCUUGCUUGCGCUCUCUCACGCAGCCUGAAGAUGCAGGAGGCAACGUGGGGAGUCAGGCAGGCUUGACGUCACAUCCUGCUACUGCCACUCUUACUAGACUGGGGAACGCUGAGUAAAUUAUUGGACUUCUCUGUGCUUUCCCCACCUCACCAUUGUUCAGAUACUGAGGACACACUCAGGGGCUGGUCCACACGUAUUAUCCCUAUCGGUGGUCUCCAUAUCAGAGUCAUCUGGAGCACUUGGAAAAAUACAGAUUUCAGAGCACCACAAGAGACUCACAAAUCAGAAUCGCCAGGAUUGAAAACCCCUUCCAGCCUAUCAACUGGCUAGGAAGGAUCAUUCUUGCUAC